UACGUAGGGGGCAAGCGUUGUCCGGAAUUAUUGGGCGUAAAGCGCGCGCAGGCGGUGAUUUAAGUUUGGUGUUUAAUCCCGGGGCUCAACCCCGGGUCGCACUGAAAACUGGGUCACUUGAGUGCGGGAGAGGAAAGUGGAAUUCCACGUGUAGCGGUGAAAUGCGUAGAGAUGUGGAGGAACACCAGUGGCGAAGGCGACUUUCUGGACCGUAACUGACGCUGAGGCGCGAAAGCGUGGGGAGCAAACA
rnacentral:rRNA from 1 species